rnacentral:rRNA from 1 species
GAUGAACGCUGGCGGCGUGCCUAAUACAUGCAAGUCGAGCGAACGGACGAGAAGCUUGCUUCUCUGAUGUUAGCGGCGGACGGGUGAGUAACACGUGGAUAACCUACCUAUAAGACUGGGAUAACUUCGGGAAACCGGAGCUAAUACCGGAUAAUAUUUUGAACCGCAUGGUUCAAAAGUGAAAGACGGUCUUGCUGUCACUUAUAGAUGGAUCCGCGCUGCAUUAGCUAGUUGGUAAGGUAACGGCUUACCAAGGCAACGAUGCAUAGCCGACCUGAGAGGGUGAUAGGCCACACUGGAACUGAGACACGGUCCAGACUCCUACGGGAGGCAGCAGUAGGGAAUCUGCCGCAAUGGGCGAAAGCCUGACGGAGCAACGCCGCGUGAGUGAUGAAGGUCUUCGGAUCGUAAAACUCUGUUAUUAGGGAAGAACAUAUGUGUAAGUAACUGUGCACAUCUUGACGGUACCUAAUCAGAAAGCCACGGCUAACUACGUG